CCUGCUCUCUUGGCGCUGCAGCUGAGGGUCACGUGGCAGCUGCUCCACCAGGGCUCUAUGAAUGACCGCUUGCUCCCAGCUCCCAAGAUGCUUCCAGGCUCUUCCUUCCUGGUUGUGGAUGCAGAGCUGGAAACCGGAAAUUCCCUCUGUUGUAAGUCCCCUUCCCUAGGAGCUGUCCUCACCGGAGCUUGACAGAGCCGAGCUUGAGUUCUGAGAGCAAGGUAGUAUGACACUAAGACACUAAGAAGAGAGAAGUGAAUUUCUUGUUACUUGCUCUUCCAUCUUUUCUGCACCUCAGCACUCAGUGGCCCUCAUUCUUGCCUUCAGAUGAAGAUGUUGAACUCUCAGCUCCUCCUUCACCAUGCCUGCCUGGAUGAUGCCAUGUUCCUGCCUUGAUGAUACUGGACUGAACCUCUGAACCUGACUGAGUCACUGGAGCAUCUAUCUGCACGCUGCGGUUUCGACUUUCCCCCAAGUGCAUAGCGAGAGUCCUGACGUUGCUACGGAAGUCAAGGAAAAGCCUUCUGCCUCCUCAGGCCUUCUUGC
ensembl:processed_transcript 1810059H22Rik RIKEN cDNA 1810059H22 gene